AUUGAACGCUGGCGGCAUGCCUUACACACGCAAGUCGAACGGUAACGGGCCUUCGGGUGCCGACGAGUGGCGAACGGGUGAGUAAUGUAUCGGAACGUACCUUUCAGUGGGGGAUAACGUAGCGAAAGUUACGCUAAUACCGCAUAUUCUGUGAGCAGGAAAGCAGGGGAUCGCAAGACCUUGCGCUGAUUGAGCGGCCGAUAUCAGAUUAGCUAGUUGGUGAGGUAAAAGCUCACCAAGGCGACGAUCUGUAGCGGGUCUGAGAGGGUGAUCCGCCACACUGGAACUGAGACACGGUCCAGACUCCUACGGGAGUCAGAAUUGGGGAAUUUUGGACAGCGGGGGCAACCCUGAUCCAACCAGGCCGCGUGAGUGAAGAAGGCCUUCGGGUUGUAAAGCUCUUUCGGCCGGGAAGAAAUCGUAUCAGCUAAUACCUGGUGCGGAUGACGGUUCCGGCACAAGAAGCACCGGCUAACUACGUGCCGGCAGCCGCCGUAACAC
rnacentral:rRNA from 1 species